ensembl:lncRNA
GCAGCUGUCACUUGCUGGGGAUGGCAGGCUGGUGGAUUGAAGCCCCCAGCUGUGGACCCUGCCGUGGCUCCCUGUGGCACAGAGUUGGGAGGCUCAGCACUGCUCUGCAGCCCCUCUUGGCCACCUGGCUCCAGCUCCACCAGCAUGCCUGCAGGCUGGGGCCAUCCUUGUUACUCCAGGAGUACAUCAGCAUUUGCUCAGGACUGUAGAAGAGCUGGAGAGUGAGAGAGUGACAUCAGUAAUUCAUGAAUUAUCCUCCUGAGAAACAUUAUCCUUCCCAGGCAUCAUGCAGGAGCUGCACACAACUGAGACCUUCCCUUCAUCUCCCUGGGAGGCUGCAGCCAGUUCAUCAAAGGGUAGCGAUCCAAGUCUCUGUCAUCUCCAGGAAUCAUUGCAGUGUGUUCACCCUUGGCUAAGCUUGAAGGAGCCCUGAAAGUUGCAGCUCAGGCAAGAGAUGAUUGUGCGCUUCUCUGUGCGGCUUCCACUGAACCUGUGAUGCAUUCAGAAGCACCAACCUCCUUCAGGAGCCUCAGUGCAGCUCAAGAUGGUAUUCUCAAAUGGGAACUGCCUUUCUGGGUUGCCUCGUGUGACACGGAGAGCUUCCCUCUGCUUGGAGUCCUCCGUGGCACUUCAGAUCAGUGACAGUGUCAGAUCACUGGCUGCAGUCUUUGCAUAGCUUCCCUCUUGACCCAGCUUGCUGUAUUCCAGGUUUUUUCACUUUCAGUGUUCUGGUAAAAAAAACUGUUCAUUCAGCCAUUCAGCCUGCACAAGCAAUAUGGAGUAGGGAGGAGGUUUUUUGGUUUUGUUUUUGUUUUUUCUUCUUUUUUUGGUGUGUGUAUGUGUGUGUAAAAUGCAGGUUAGCUGCUAGUUUGCAGCCCUGCAGCUGUAGGCUUAGUGUGGAUGUAAGUGACCAAGCAAAUGUCUAUCCAGAGUGGCUGUCCCUGCAGGCUGUCUUCUGUGGCACUUGGACUGCAGGUUCCUGUGGCCUCUCAGCUGACUGCCUCAUAGUGCUUCUGAUUUUAAUAAACCAAUGACAGAAGAGGUUGCUAAAUGGUAGCUAAUAAACAAAGUGACAUGC